ACUUUAUAAAAGGAUUUAUAUCGCUGCCGAUACGCUUAUUUUGUUAAAUAAUUUAUUAAUACAGAGGAUAAAAUGAAAUUUCUUUUUUCCUUUCUAGUCAUAUUGCUGGUUACAUUGGCAGUCCAAAACUGCGAAUCGAUAAGGAUAUGUAGUUGUUUACCGGAAGAUUAUGAUUGCACGGAUGACUGGGACCCUGUGUGUGGAAUAAAAAAUGGAACUGAGUGCACUUUUAGCAACAUUUGCAAUCUUUAUCGAUGCAAAUUUUUAUACCACGGAGAAUGCAGGGAAUGAAAUUUUAAAGUAAAUACCUAUAUAAGAAGCGGAUUUUAUAAUUUUUUUCUACAAUUACCCAUUUAUUCCAUAUUAUAGUUCUUAUA